rnacentral:rRNA from 1 species
UACGUAGGCACGAGCGUUGUUCGGAGUUACUGGGCGUAAAAGGGUGUGUAGGCGGUUUUCUAAGUUUUGGUGUGAAAUCUCCCGGCUACAACCGGGAGGGGUGCGCCGAAAAACCUGGGGAGACUAGAGUGCGGGGAUGGGAGAGUAGAAUUCCUGGUGGUGAAGCGGUGAAAUGCGUAGAUAUACAGGAGGAAUACCGGUGGUGUAGACGGCUCUCUGGACCGGCCACUGACGCUGAGACACGAAAGCGUGGG